AUUGAACGCUGGCGGCAGGCCUAACACAUGCAAGUCGAGCGAGCGGCGGACGGGUGAGUAAUGUCUGGGAAACUGCCUGAUGGAGGGGGAUAACUACUGGAAACGGUAGCUAAUCACGCAUACCAUCAGAUGUGCCCAGAUGGGAUUAGCUAGUAGGUGUGGUAACGGUUCACCUAGGCGACGAUCCCUAGCUGGUGUGAGAGGAUGCCCAGCCAAAGUGGAAAUGAUACACGGUCCAGCCUCCUACGGGAGGCAGCAGUGGGGAAUAUUGACCAAUGGGGGAGAGCCUGAUGCAGCCAUGUGGCGUGUGGGAAGAAGGCCUUCGGUUUGUAAAGCACUUUCAGCGGGGAGGCGUUACCCGCAGAAGAAGCACCGGCUAACUCCGUGCCAGCAGCCGCGGUAAUAC
rnacentral:rRNA from 1 species